CCAAGUUUCUCUGAGUAGGUAGCCAAACCAUCAUGAGCUUUGGAGGUUUUCUCCUUCUCACGGAUGUCUUAUUAAAAGAAAAUUCACCAGCAUCUAGCAGAAAAGUACUGUUUUCCGUAUUUUAUCAUCUAAAGUGCCAUACGACUCAGACAUUGUAUCACCGACUUACGCCUCACAAAAGACAUAUCAGGUUGUUACCAUUCCCUUUUUGCAAAUGAGAAACUGAGUCUCAGUGAAGUUGAGGGUCAUCUGCCAAUAGGCUUUUAUGGAAGAUAUUUUGGAAUGGAGAGAAAAGUCAACUUUCUUGUGUUUCCAGGAUGUUACUUCAGCAUGUCCACUGGAUACCUAGGUAUCCAGUAGGAUACUACGUAUCUGGAUAGAUCAAGGAUACUGAGAUGCUACGUAUCUCAGCAGAUCUGGUGGAGAAUUCCUUAAUUUACUGGAAAAGAAAGACUAAGCCAACAACUCUUUUUAAUGAAAGACCCUAGGUUUGAAGAGAUUACAAGACAAGUCAUCAGAACAACCUGUGGGCAGUGUAAUGAAGCCUGGCAGUUAUCACAACUAUCACCGCUUUAAAAUAUUAAGUAUGAUACACAGUAGCAUCAAUUUUUAAAAUGUGGUCCUGGUAUUCCUGGCAGAUCCUGAGAUCUUUCUAGGAAGCCAAUGAGGUCUUCUUACUCCUCUGUGUGAUGAAAUGGAAGGCACUCACACUGGUCACAGUGGUCAUCUCAAGGAAAAGUACUUGUGCAUCUGAGUUGCAAGCUAAACUAGCAGCUCUUCUCCUGGAAUGCAUUUUUUUUUUUUUUUUUUUUUUUUUUUUUACAGAAAAGAAUGAACAAGUGUCAGAAAAGAAUGUUUAUUCAGACUUGGAUAUUUUAAAGACAUUUUAUCAAAAAUAAACUAAGUGAGCCUGCCACUUCAAAGAACACAACCGACAAAUUGUCGUCAAUAAUACUUGUCACGUUUCUAAGCAAAAAUCAGUUAGGAAGCUUCUGUCUACCAGCAUAAGCUUGACUUUUACCUAAUGUAUACUAUAAAACAUCCAGCCUCACACGGAUAUGUAGUGAGAAAAGGUGGAAGUAUUUUAAUAGCCUUUUAAGAUAAUUAGAUAGUUUAGAUAACUAAUAAUUUAGGAGAUAAUAAUUAUUCUCCUUUGAUACUGCACUAAAAACUGGCAUGUAGUAGUUUUUUAAAUAGUUGUUGGAAUGUGGAAUUUGAAGCCACAUAAGUGAUUUUUUUUUUUCUUUUUUGAGAUGGAGUCUCACUCUAUCUCCCAGGCUGAGUCUCACUCUAUCUCCCAGGCUGGAGUGCAGUGGCGCGAUCUUGGCUCAUUGCAACCUCUGCCUCCCAGGUUCAAGCCAUUCUCCUGCCUCAGCCUUCUGAGUAGCUGGGAUUACAGGCGUGUGCCACCACACCCAGCUAAUUUUUGUAUUUUUGGUAGAGAUGGGGUUUCACUAUGUUGGACAAACUGGUCUUGAACUCGUAACACCGCCCAGCGGUUGAUCUGCCUGCCUCGGCCUCCCAAAGUACUGGAAUUACAGGCGUGUGCCAUUGUGCCUGUCCAUAAGUGAUUUUUUUUCAUAUUUUAUUACAUUACUUCAUAUACUUCAACCAAACAACAUAUCACAACAUAUUGAAGGCAAAAGCAGAUACAAAAUUCGGUCAUUUUAUAUUAAAGCUGACUUUAAUUUAUAAAUUUAUAAAAGUAUAAAACAAUAUAUAUCUUCUCACUCAUUUUUAUUUUAAAAAUAGUUACUUUAUUAAAAUACGUUAUUUAUGUUAAUAUGUAAUAGGCUUAUAUUGUCAUAUUUGCAUGCAUUCAUAUAUAUUUUUAACUGUCUCAGUUUUAAUUGCUCAUACAGAACAUAAUUAGUAGAUAUAACCCAUACAAACAGAAGCUCUUUGGGGUCCUCAGUAGUUUUAAAGAGAGUAAAAGCAUUCUGUGAUCAAAAAGUUCAAAAACCAUUGCACUCUAACAAUCUUUGAGCUUGCAAAAAUUACCUCAAAAAGCCAUUUUCAGUAUGGAAUGAAUGGGUGUGAUGGCCCAGUUUCCAAUACCUACCGUCAUUUAGCCCCCAUUCCUUUUGAGCUAGUCCAGAGAGGUGUGGCUGGUAGGCAGAGAGUUGAGGCCUACAGAGCUCUGGUCAUUUAUCUAAAAUAUAGUUCUAACUCUAAAAUGGACAAAGGCUAAUAGCUGCACAUUUGUCCUAUAAGACAGAGCCCCAGUAUUAGGUGGUUGUGUGUAUCUCUUUUCCAUAGCAUCAACCCUGUAUCUCAGUGUAGGUAGCAUGUCAUCUUCUAGAAAGGUAACUUGAUACAGACCCAGGCUUGAAGAUAAGAGCGCCGGGUUCUCUUCUCAGACUCACCAUUAACCAGUCUUAUGACCUGAGCAGUCUCUCUCUCUGGACUUCAGUGUCCUUAUUCACAAAAGGCAGAUGUUUGGUAACAGGACCAUACGCUCUCUAAGAUAUUUUUCAACUUGGAAAUUCUAUGAAUCAAUUUGGAGAAAUAUUUGAAAGACAAUAAGAAUAACAGUUGACUUUUAUAUGGUAUUUUAUACUUGCUAAAUUACUUUUCCUUCCAAAUUCUUGGCUGGUGUUAAUUUCACGGCAAUUGAGAUUAAGGAUUCCAGAGGCGAUAGACUGGUAUUGAGUUCUGAUGUGUCACUAACCAGCUGUGUGGCCUUGAGUAGGUUAUUUAACCCAUCUACAGCUCAGAGAGUUGAUAAGGUGAUUAAAUGAGGUAAGGCAUGCACAGUAUUUAGAAUAGAUUCCGGCCUAUGUUACACACACAGUAACUAUUAUUAACACCUGAUUCAAUGUAUUGUAAUUGUAUGUUCACAUGUCUCUCUCCCCUCCUAGACUAUGAACUCCUUAUAGAUGAAGACCUCAUCCUGCUCAUCACUGCAUUCCUAGCAUAGUGCCUAGGUCAUAAUCAGUACUCAGUAAAUGCUCACUAAAUGGAAGAGUGGAUGACUUAUGUGAUAGUUUAAAUCAUUGUCCAGUAUAUAUUCAGUUCUCGAUACCUCCUUCUUUGGGCAGAGUUUAAUUUUCCAUGUUAUUUGGGUUGAUCCAUGAGAUUUCAGAGGGCUUAAAUGCACAUGUAUAGUUUGGCUUGAGUCUUGUGCUCUGAUGAUGAUAAUGGUGAUGAGGAUAAUCCAUGAGAAUUGUCAUCCAGAUAGCCAGUGCUUCUUUAGCAUGGGCCCCAGAAUGACAGAGACAGUGUAGCAGACAAUCAUGCUCUGAAGAACAGCCUUCUAGCCAGUACCACCCCUAAUCACAGACAGCUCUCCCAGGCAGUGCUGUAUUUCUUUCAUGGCAUCAUGUGAGAUUAAGCUGCCAGAAUUUUGCUGAUUUGGGGUGAACAGAAUUGUUUAUAUAUAGACAGGUCUCCACACGAAAUAUUCCUGUGUUGUCCAUACACUCCAAAAGCAGCCCUGCCAUGAGCCAAGGCCAUCCUAGACCACCUGAUAUUGACCUGAAGACUCAUGAAUACAAGAAUACAUGUCUGUUGCUAAAUGACUGAGAUUUGGGGAUGGUUUUAAAAAUGACAGUAAUGUGGCAAUCAUAGAUAGAUUGAUACAACUGUACAAUCUAUGAGGUAAUUGUUAUUGUUCUUCCCAUUUUAAAUGUGAGAAGAUUAACAAAGGGGAUAUCAUCUAGAAAGCACUUGUUCGCUAAUAAUAGAAAACAGCUCAAAUUGUUAUACAGGAUAAUAGAACCCAAAAAGGCAGAGGUAGUGCAAAGAGAGCUCCUGAUGAAGCUGAGCCAGUGGGUCCCCAGGGUCACCAGGAUCCCAUUUCUAUGUAUCUAUUCAUAUUGCCUUUUGCCAUGACAGUUUCUUCUUCGAGCUGCUAUGGGCUCAUCUGUGCAUAUUUGCACAGGCAGAGUUCCUAGAGCCUGUACCAUCUCUACAAGGUCCUCAAGACUCACUCUGAGCAGACCCUCUAGGGUCAACACCAGUCCUUAUCCAUUCCCAAUUCUACCCUGUGUAUGUGUGUUUUUAAUCAUCACUCACUUAUUUAACAAAUAUUUAUUGAGUGCCUUCUCUGUCAGGUACUUUUCUAUGUAGUGGGAAUACACUAUUGAAUGAGGCAGGAAUAGUCACUGUGCACGCGGGAGUUACAUACUCUAUAUUGUAUAUAAUAAUACAGACAAAUAGGCUAGGGAGAGAGGGAGCUAGAUAAUUAUAUAUACAGAAACCUAAUGAUGGCUAUCAUUUACCAAGACCAAAAGCAGGCAUUAUGCCAGAGGUUUUUAAUUCAAUCUUCAAAAUAAUGUUACAAGAUAAGACUUAUUGUUCACAUUUUUAUCAUUAACAAAAUGGUACACAGCAAAAAUGAGUAAUUUACUAGGCUCAAACAACAAGGCUAAAUUUAUAAUUUUUUGUUACUCAUCUGCCAUGCACAUUGCCUGUCAUACAUGAAAAAUCCUGUUCCUCUUUGGAUUAACUAUAAUUCCCAUACCAAAUGAUGUUAGAAUAAACUAUCCUUUAUUAAUUUUAUUAAUUUAGCUAAAUCCCUUAGAAUGCUUUGGCUAAAUACAAAGUGCUUAGAACCUCAUUUAUUAAUCAAUUUUUCAAAAAUAAAACAUUUUCUGUAUCUGUAGAUACUACAUGUAUAUCAUUGGUG
rnacentral:lncRNA from 1 species